AUGUAUGUUGAUGACUUCUCCAUAUAUGAGAUUUCUUUUGUCCUUAGAAACCAACUUGAAAACUUCAUUGCCGAUGUGAGAGCUGAUUCAAGUUUUGUUAGUUGCAAUGACCUUGGUAGUCUUGCUGUGGAGAUGGUUCAAACUGAUAGACACAUAGUCUUUCCUUUGGUAUAUGGUCUUAUUGAGUCGGCAUUGAUUUUGCCUAUUGCAACCGCAUCAGUGGAAAGAGCUUUCUCGGCUAUGAGUAUCAUCAAGACUGAGUUGAGGAAUAAGAUGGGUGAUGAUUGGUUGAAUUAUUCCAUGGUGUGCAAUAUUGAGCGAGAAAUAUUUGCAAAGGUUGAUGAUGAUGCUAUUAUAUAUCGCUUUCAAGCCUAUAGAUUUCGCAAAGGAACUUUACCUCGUCGUAGUAGUGUUGGCUCUUCUUCCACCGUUGAUCAAGUUAUGGAAGACACCGAUGAA
rnacentral:rRNA from 1 species